CCUACGGGUGGCAGCAGUAGGGAAUUUUCGUCAAUGGGCGCAAGCCUGAACGAGCGAUGCCGCGUGAGUGAAGAAGGCCUUCGGGUCGUAAAGCUCUGUUGCGGGGGAAAAAAGGCAGCAUCAGGAAAUGGGUGCUGACUGAUGGUGCCCCGCCAGAAAGUCACGGCUAACUACGUGCCAGCAGCCGCGGUAAUACGUAGGUGGCGAGCGUUAUCCGGAAUGAGUGGGCGUAAAGGGUGCGCAGGCGGUCCUGCAAGUCUGGAGUGAAACGCAUGAGCUCAACUCAUGCAUGGCUUUGGAAACUGGAGGACUGGAGAGCAGGAGAGGGCGGUGGAACUCCAUGUGUAGCGGUAAAAUGCGUAGAUAUAUGGAAGAACACCAGUGGUGAAGGCGGCCUGCUGGGCUUUAACUGACGCUGAAGCACGAAAGCGUGGGUAGCAAACAGGAUUAGAUACCCCAGUAGUC
rnacentral:rRNA from 1 species